rnacentral:rRNA from 1 species
UACAGAGGUCUCAAGCGUUGUUCGGAUUCAUUGGGCGUAAAGGGUGCGUAGGCGGGCUGGCAAGUCAGGGGUGAAAGCCCACGGCUCAACCGUGGAAGUGCCUCUGAUACUGCCGGCCUGGAGGGAGGUAGGGGCGUGCGGAACUUCCGGUGGAGCGGUGAAAUGCGUAGAUAUCGGAAGGAACACCGGUGGCGAAAGCGGCGCGCUGGACCUCUGCUGACGCUGAGGCGCGAAAGCCAGGGGAGCAAACGGG